AGGUAUAUAACAUGUUUUGGAGAGUACUAAAAAAUGCAACACUGGCUUAAUUUCACAUUUGGUACUAUUGUGCAAGGUUCGGCCAUUUGCAUUACUGAGGUCGAGCUAGCUGUGUGUCGUGCGCUUUGUUUUAGAGAAAUGUAUUUAAAGAAUUAAUUAAAUUAAAUGCUGUCGUUGGGGGAAAAAUGUGUAUAAUAUGCGUGUAGCGAGAACGAGGCUGUUUCGUGAAAUAGUAAAGGUUAAGAAACCUAUUGCAAUACUAAUUUGCUAGAGUGGGAAACUGAAGAACAAAGUUAGGUGUCGGAAACACUUUUAUGGACUUUACCACUAAAAAAAGUAUACACAAAUAAAUAUGUAUACGCAUAUUUCUGUUUCUGGAGCAAUAUUGCAGAAACCUAUUGCAAUACUAAUUUGCUAGAGUGGGAAACUGAAGAACAAAGUUAGGUGUCAGAAACCCUUUUAUGGACUUUACCACUAAAAAAAAGUAUACACAAAUAAAUAUGUAUACGCAUAUUUCUGUUUCUGGAGCAAUACUGCAGAAACCUAUUGCAAUACUAUUUUGCUAGAGUGGGAAACUGAAGAACAAAGUUAGGUGUCGGAAACACUUUUAUGGACUUUACCACUAAAAAAAGUAUACACAAAUAAAUAUGUAUACGCAUAUUUCUGUUUCUGGAGCAAUACUGCAGAACCUACUACAAUGAGAUGAACAUUUUUGCACUAGCUUAGAAGGAACCUGUGAUAAAUUAAAGGUAA